AUGGCUCAGAUUGAACGCUGGCGGCAGGCCUAACACACGCAAGUCGAACGGUAACAGGAAGCAGCUUGCUGCUUUGCUGACGAGUGGCGGACGGGUGAGUAAUGUCUGGGAAACUGCCUGAUGGAGGGGGAUAACUACUGGAAACGGUGGCUAAUACCGCAUAACGUCGCAAGACCAAAGAGGGGGACCUUCGGGCCUCUUGCCAUCAGAUGUGCCCAGAUGGGAUUAGCUUGUUGGUGAGGUAACGGCUCACCAAGGCGACGAUCCCUAGCUGGUCUGAGAGGAUGACCAGCCACACUGGAACUGAGACACGGUCCAGACUCCUACGGGAGGCAGCAGUGGGGAAUAUUGCACAAUGGGCGCAAGCCUGAUGCAGCCAUGCCGCGUGUAUGAAGAAGGCCUUCGGGUUGUAAAGUACUUUCAGCGGGGAGGAAGGUGUUGCGGUUAAUAACCGCAGCAAUUGACGUUACCCGCAGAAGAAGCACCGGCUAACUCCGUGCCAGCAGCCGCGGUAAUACGGAGGGUGCAAGCGUUAAUCGGAAUUACUGGGCGUAAAGCGCACGCAGGCGGUCUGUCAAGUCGGAUGUGAAAUCCCCGGGCUCAACCUGGGAACUGCAUUCGAAACUGGCAGGCUUGAGUCUUGUAGAGGGGGGUAGAAUUCCAGGUGUAGCGGUGAAAUGCGUAGAGAUCUGGAGGAAUACCGGUGGCGAAGGCGGCCCCCUGGACAAAGACUGACGCUCAGGUGCGAAAGCGUGGGGAGCAAACAGGAUUAGAUACCCUGGUAGUCCACGCCGUAAACGAUGUCUACUUGGAGGUUGUGCCCUUGAGGCGUGGCUUCCGGAGCUAACGCGUUAAGUAGACCGCCUGGGGAGUACGGCCGCAAGGUUAAAACUCAAAUGAAUUGACGGGGGCCCGCACAAGCGGUGGAGCAUGUGGUUUAAUUCGAUGCAACGCGAAGAACCUUACCUGGUCUUGACAUCCACAGAAGAAUCCAGAGAUGGAUUUGUGCCUUCGGGAACUGUGAGACAGGUGCUGCAUGGCUGUCGUCAGCUCGUGUUGUGAAAUGUUGGGUUAAGUCCCGCAACGAGCGCAACCCUUAUCCUUUGUUGCCAGCGAUUAGGUCGGGAACUCAAAGGAGACUGCCAGUGAUAAACUGGAGGAAGGUGGGGAUGACGUCAAGUCAUCAUGGCCCUUACGACCAGGGCUACACACGUGCUACAAUGGCGCAUACAAAGAGAAGCGACCUCGCGAGAGCAAGCGGACCUCAUAAAGUGCGUCGUAGUCCGGAUUGGAGUCUGCAACUCGACUCCAUGAAGUCGGAAUCGCUAGUAAUCGUGGAUCAGAAUGCCACGGUGAAUACGUUCCCGGGCCUUGUACACACCGCCCGUCACACCAUGGGAGUGGGUUGCAAAAGAAGUAGGUAGCUUAACCUUCGGGAGGGCGCUUACCACUUUGUGAUUCAUGACUGGGGUGAAGUCGUAACAAGG
rnacentral:rRNA from 1 species